CGGUGCCAGCCGCCGCGGUAACACCGGCGGCCCGAGUGGUGAUCGUGAUUAUUGGGUCUAAAGGGUCCGUAGCCGGUUUGGUCAGUCCUCCGGGAAAUCUGAUGGCUCAACCAUUAGGCUUUCGGGGGAUACUGCCAGGCUUGGAACCGGGAGAGGUAAGAGGUACUACAGGGGUAGGAGUGAAAUCUUGUAAUCCCUGUGAGACCACCUGUGGCGAAGGCGUCUUACCAGAACGGGUUCGACKKUKWGKGACGAAAGCUGGGGGCACGAACCGGAUUAGAUACCCGGGUAGUCCCAGCCGUAAACGAUGCUCGCUAGGUGUCAGGCAUGGCGCGACCGUGUCUGGUGCCGCAGGGAAGCCGUGAAGC
rnacentral:rRNA from 1 species